ACUAAUAAAUGAAUCACUUAACACCACUAUUGAUCCUUGCACGGAUUUCUAUGGAUAUGUAUGCGACCGGUGGGAAAGCGCUCAUCCUCUUCCAGGUGGCAAGGGCAGCUAUGAUGUUUAUCGGGAGAUUCGUAAAGAUAUUCCGAAACUGCUAAGCUAUAUUCUUGGAAACCGAACCCUGGUUGAGACUAACCAAACCAUAAUCGACAAGGUGACAAUCAUGUAUAAUGCAUGUUUAGCACUUCCAGAUAGCAGUGUUGCUUUGAAAAACGUGCUGGAUGCAUCUGGAUUUAUUACCUGGCCGAUUCUCACCGAGCAAAACAUCUUCAACUCCAGUAAUUGUUCGGAUUUACUUCACCAUAUGAACAUUUCUGCAAUUCUCCAUGUGGACCUUACAAAUAUGCGAGGAUACGCCACGAACCCGGCGAAUCCUUACGAAAUGACGAUUGAGUACAUGCCCGUUCAAGAAGAUAUAAAGAAGGUGAAGAAUAUUGGACAAGUAAUAAACAACACUAUCAAACUCUUAAACCCAGGAAUUAACAGCUCAACGCUUGACAACAUAACGACACAAUUGGUGGAAUUCAG